rnacentral:rRNA from 1 species
AUUGAACGCUGGCGGCAGGCCUAACACAUGCAAGUCGAGCGGAUGAAGGGAGCUUGCUCCUGGAUUCAGCGGCGGACGGGUGAGUAAUGCCUAGGAAUCUGCCUGGUAGUGGGGGAUAACGUCCGGAAACGGGCGCUAAUACCGCAUACGUCCUGAGGGUGAAAGGGGGGGUUCUUCGGACCUCACGCUACCAGAUGAGCCUAGGUCGGAUUAGCUAGUUGGUGGGGUAAAGGCCUACCAAGGCGACGAUCCGUAACUGGUCUGAGAGGAUGAUCUGUCACACUGGAACUGAGACACGGUCCAGACUCCUACGGGAGGCAGCAGUGGGGAAUAUUGGACAAUGGGCGAAAGCCUGAUCCAGCCAUGCCGCGUGUGUGAUGAAGGUCUUCGGAUUGUAAAGCACUUUAAGUUGGGAGGAAGGGCAGUAAGUUAAUACCUGGCUGUUUUGACGGUACCAACAGAGUAAGCACCGGCUAACUACGUG